rnacentral:rRNA from 1 species
GAACCAGGACUUCGGUCCUGGGGACAGCGGCGAACGGGUGCGUAACACGUGAGCAACCUGCCCCGAAGACCGGGACAAGCCGGGGAAACCUGGUCUAAUACCGGAUGCCCUCUCCGGAUCGCAUGAUCUGGUGAGGAAAUGGAUUCCGCUUCGGGAUGGGCUCGCGGUCUAUCAGCUUGUUGGUGGGGUAACGGCCUACCAAGGCGACGACGGAUAGCUGGUCUGAGAGGACGAUCAGCCACACUGGGACUGAGACACGGCCCAGACUCCUACGGGAGGCAGCAGUGAGGAAUAUUCCACAAUGGGCGAAAGCCUGAUGGAGCGACGCCGCGUGCGGGAUGAAGCCCUUUGGG